GCAGUCCUUCGGGAAGUCUGUGAAGGUGCUGCAUGGUUGUCGUCAGCUCGUGCCGUGAGGUGUCGGCUCAAGUGCCAUAACGAGCGCAACCCCUGUCUCCUGUUGCCAUCAGGUAAAGCUGGGCACACUGGAGAGACUGCCGCCGUAAGGUGCGAGGAAGGUGGGGAUGACGUCAAAUCAGCACGGCCCUUACGUCCGGGGCUACACACGUGUUACAAUGGCCGGUACAGAAGGAUGGUGCCCCGCAAGGUGCAUCGAACCUGAAAAACCGGUCCCAGUUCGCACUGGGGUCUGCAACCCGACCCCACGAAGCUGGAUUCGCUAGUAAUCGCGCAUCAGCCAUGACGCGGUGAAUACGUUCCCGGGCCUUGUACACACCGCCCGUCAAGCCAUGAAAGCCGGGAG
rnacentral:rRNA from 1 species